AUUGAAAGCUGGCGGCAGGCCUAACACAUGCAAGUCGAGCGGCAGCGGGAAAGUAGCUUGCUACUUUUGCCGGCGAGCGGCGGACGGGUGAGUAAUGCCUGGGAAAUUGCCCAGUCGAGGGGGAUAACAGUUGGAAACGACUGCUAAUACCGCAUACGCCCUACGGGGGAAAGCAGGGGAUCUUCGGGCCUUGCGCGAUUGGUUAUGCUCAGGUGGGAUUAGCUAGUUGGUGAGUUAAUGGCUCACCAAGGCGACGAUCCCUCGCUGGUCUGAGAGCAUGAUCAGCCACACUGGAACUGAGAAACGGUCCAGGCUCCUACGGGAGGCAGCAGUGGGGAAUAUUGCACAAUGGGGGAAACCCUGAUGCAGCCAUGCCGCGUGUGUGAAGAAGGCCUUCGGGUUGUAAAGCACUUUCAGCGAGGAGGAAAGGUUGAUGCCUAAUACGUAUCAACUGUGACGUUACUCGCAGAAGAAGCACCGGCUAACUCCGUGCCAGCAGCCGCAGUAA
rnacentral:rRNA from 1 species